UACGUAGGGGGCUAGCGUUGUCCGGAUUUAUUGGGCGUAAAGAGCUCGUAGGCGGUCUGUCGCGUCGAUCGUGAAAACUUGGGGCUUAACCCUGAGCUUGCGGUCGAUACGGGCAUGACUGGAGUUCGGCAGGGGAGACUGGAAUUCCUGGUGUAGCGGUGAAAUGCGCAGAUAUCAGGAGGAACACCGGUGGCGAAGGCGGUUCUCUGGGCCUGUACUGACGCUGAGGAACGAAAGCGUGGGGAGCGAACAGG
rnacentral:rRNA from 1 species